GACGAACGCUGGCGGCGCGCUUAACACAUGCAAGUCGAGCGGUAAGGCCCUUUCGGGGGUACACGAGCGGCGAACGGGUGAGUAACACGUGGGUGACCUGCCCUCAGCUCUGGGAUAAGCCUGGGAAACCGGGUCUAAUACUGGAUAUGACUCCAUGACGCAUGUUGUGGGGUGGAAAGCCUUGUGCGGCUGAGGAUGGGCCCGCGGCCUAUCAGCUUGUUGGUGGGGUGAUGGCCUACCAAGGCGACGACGGGUAGCCGGCCUGAGAGGCGACCGGCCACACUGGGACUGAGACACGGCCCAGACUCCUACGGGAGGCAGCAGUGGGGAAUAUUGGACAAUGGGGAAACCCUGAUCCAGCAAUGCCGCGUGUGUGAAGAAGGCCCUGGUU
rnacentral:rRNA from 1 species